AUUGAACGCUGGCGGCAUGCCUUACACAUGCAAGUCGAACGGCAGCGGGCCUUCGGGUGCCGGCGAGUGGCGAACGGGUGAGUAAUGCAUCGGAACGUGCCAUUGAGUGGGGGAUAACGUAGCGAGAGUUACGCUAAUACCGCAUAUUCUGUGAGCAGGAAAGCAGGGGACCGCAAGGCCUUGCGCUCUUUGAGCGGCCGAUGUCAGAUUAGCUAGUUGGUGAGGUAAAGGCUUACCAAGGCGACGAUCUGUAGCGGGUCUGAGAGGAUGAUCCGCCACACUGGAACUGAGACACGGUCCAGACUCCUACGGGAGGCAGCAGUGGGGAAUUUUGGACAAUGGGCGCAAGCCUGAUCCAGCCAUGCCGCGU
rnacentral:rRNA from 1 species